rnacentral:rRNA from 1 species
GAUGAACGCUGGCGGCGUGCCUAAUACAUGCAAGUCGAGCGAACGGACGAGAAGCUUGCUUCUCUGAUGUUAGCGGCGGACGGGUGAGUAACACGUGGAUAACCUACCUAUAUGACUGGGAUAACUUCGGGAAACCGUAGCUAAUACCGGCUAAUAUUUUGAACCGCAUGGUUCAAAAGUGAAAGACGGUCUUGCUGUCACUUAUAGAUGGAUCCGCGCUGCAUUAGCUAGUUGGUAAGGUAACGGCUUACCAAGGCGACGAUGCAUAGCUGACCUGAGAGGGUGAUCGGCCACACUGGAACUGAGACACGGUCCAGACUCCUACGGGAGGCAGCAGUAGGGAAUCUUGCGCAAUGGGCGAAAGCCUGACGGAGCAACGCCGCGUGAGUGAUGAAGGUCUUCGGAUCGUAAAACUCUGUUAUUAGGGAAGAACAUAUGUGUAAGUAACUGUGCACAUCUUGACGGUACCUAAUCAGAAAGCCACGGCUAACUACGUG